rnacentral:rRNA from 1 species
GGACCCGCACAAGUAGUGGAGCAUGUGGUUUAAUUCGAAGAUACGCGCAGAACCUUACCAACACUUGACAUGUUCGUCGCGACUUUAAGAGAUUAAAGUUUUCGGUUCGGCCGGACGAAACACAGGUGCUGCAUGGCUGUCGUCAGCUCGUGUCGUGAGAUGUUGGUUAAGUCCCGCAACGAGCGCAACCCUCACUUUUAGUUGCCAUCAUUAAGUUGGGCACUCUGAAAGAACUGCCAGUGAUAAGCUGGAGGAAGGUGGGGAUGACGUCAAGUCCUCAUGGCCCUUACGUGUUGGGCUACACACGUGCUACAAUGGCAGUGACAACGGGAAGCAAGACCGCGAGGUGGAGCU